AGAUGUGAGGUGGUCUGGCUAUGGCAUCUGCCAUCCCAUUGAUACCAGGCUGAUGUGGCAGAUCUGGCUAGUUAAGUAGGUGCCCACCCCUCACUGCUCUAUGUAUGUCCUUCCCAAAACUGGGAAGAGAUGAUCUUCCCCAAUGCAGGAGGACUAUGUUUUUGUCAAGGAUAUAUGAGUAGCUCUAUUCCCCUGCUAAAACCUCCAAACAAACUCAGGACAGAAUUACACUCCUUUAAGCCAGAAUCCAGAAGAGAAGGCUGAAGUAGACUCUUCCCUAGUGCCUUCAAAGAAAGCAUGGUCCUGCAGUUACCUUCACCU
ensembl:misc_RNA 7SK 7SK RNA